rnacentral:rRNA from 1 species
UACGUAGGCAGCGAGCGUUGUUCGGAGUUACUGGGCGUAAAGCGUGCGUAGGCGGUCCCACAAGUCUGUUGUGAAAUCUCCCGGCUCAACUGGGAGGGUGCGGUGGAAACUGUGGGGCUGGAGUAUGGGAGAGGUAGGCGGAAUUCCUGGUGUAGCGGUGAAAUGCGUAGAUAUCAGGAGGAACACCAGCGGUGUAGACGGCUUACUGGACCAUCACUGACGCUGAGGCACGAAAGCGUGGGGAGCAAACAGG